UACGUAGGGUGCAAGCGUUGUUCGGAAUUACUGGGCGUAAAGCGCGCGUAGGCGGCUUUGUAAGUUAGAGGUGAAAGCCCGGAGCUCAACUCCGGAACUGCCUUUAAGACUGCAUCGCUAGAAUUGUGGAGAGGUGAGUGGAAUUCCGAGUGUAGAGGUGAAAUUCGUAGAUAUUCGGAAGAACACCAGUGGCGAAGGCGACUCACUGGACACAUAUUGACGCUGAGGUGCGAAAGCGUGGGGAGCAAACAGG
rnacentral:rRNA from 1 species